CCUACGUGUGGCAGCAGUCGAGAAUCAUUCACAAUGGGGGAAACCCUGAUGGUGCGACGCCGCGUGGGGGAAUGAAGGUCUUCGGAUUGUAAACCCCUGUCAUGUGGGAGCAAAUUAAAAAGAUAGUACCACAAGAGGAAGAGACGGCUAACUCUGUGCCAGCAGCCGCGGUAAUACAGCGGUCUCAAGCGUUGUUCGGAAUCACUGGGCGUAAAGAGUGCGUAGGCUGUCUCGUAAGUCGUGUGUGAAAGGCGCGGGCUCAACCCGCGGACGGGACAUGAUACUGCGAGACUAGAGUGAUGGAGGGGGAAGCGGAAUUCUUGGUGUAGCAGUGAAAUGCGUAGAGAUCGAGAGGAACACUCGUGGCGAAGGCGGGUUCCUGGACAUUAACUGACGCUGAGGCACGAAAGCGAGGGGAGCGAAAGGGAUUAGAUACCCCAGUAGUC
rnacentral:rRNA from 1 species